rnacentral:rRNA from 1 species
UACGGAGGGUGCAAGCGUUAUCCGGAUUCACUGGGUUUAAAGGGUGCGUAGGUGGGCAGGUAAGUCAGUGGUGAAAUCUCCGGGCUUAACCCGGAAACUGCCAUUGAUACUAUCUGUCUUGAAUAUCGUGGAGGUAAGCGGAAUAUGUCAUGUAGCGGUGAAAUGCUUAGAUAUGACAUAGAACACCAAUUGCGUAGGCAGCUUACUACUCGAUCAUUGACGCUGAGGCACGAAAGCGUGGGGAGCAAACAGG